rnacentral:rRNA from 1 species
AUGAGAUGCGAGCUUGGCUUCUGCAAUCAUGAAGAUAUAUCAGAAAAUUGCAAGGUUCGCUUCAGUAAAUACCUGAGUGCAGAACCGGUAGAUGGAGUUUUGACGUGUGUGGAGCAGGGGCGAACGGCGGAUGGUGUGUCGGCGAAGUCUGUGGAGGUGACAUUGGAUAGUUCCCAGAAGCAUUGUGUGGUGGUGCGCAAGCUUGAUCAAGUCGACAGCCAACUCGAUGCCGCGGCAGGCUACCUAGAAGACGUCCUUGUGGUGUUGCACGCGUACAGUGGGCUCGGCGGUGAGAACGGCGGCAAUCUGGGAGUGCCCGUAUUCGGAUCACACGGCUCGGCUCUCAUCCCCAAUGGCCUCCUUGCGGUGUCGUGCACGUCCGGCGCACUUGACAGUGAGGACGGCGGUGAUUUGGAAGUGCCCUUGGUUGGAUCAUACGGCUCAGCUCCUACCCCAAACGGCCUAUUCAUGCUUCUGCAUGUGCUCAUGGCCUCUGGCGAUGGCUGA